GACGGAUGGUUCUAUUUUGUUGGUUUCUAGGAUCACCGUAAUGAUUAAUAGGGAUAGUUGGGGGCAUUAGUAUUCAAUUGUCAGAGGUGAAAUUCUUGGAUUUAUUGAAGACUAACUACUGCGAAAGCAUUUGCCAAGGAUGUUUUCAUUAAUCAAGAACGAAAGUUAGGGGAUCGAAGACGAUCAGAUACCGUCGUAGUCUUAACCAUAAACUAUGCCGACUAGGGAUCGGACGGUGUUAUUUUUGACCCGUUCGGCGCCUUACGGGAAAC
rnacentral:rRNA from 1 species